rnacentral:rRNA from 1 species
UUCAGAGGGGGACAACAGUUGGAAACGACUGCUAAUACCGCAUACGAUCCAAUCUCGGCAUCGAGGAUGGAUGAAAGGUGGCCUCUAUUUAUAAGCUAUCACUGAAGGAGGGGAUUGCGUCUGAUUAGCUAGUUGGAGGGGUAACGGCCCACCAAGGCGAUGAUCAGUAGCCGGUCUGAGAGGAUGAACGGCCACAUUGGGACUGAGACACGGCCCAG